AGAGUGAACGCUGGCGGUAGGCCUAACACAUGCAAGUCGAACGGCAGCACAGUGGUAGCAAUACCAUGGGUGGCGAGUGGCGGACGGGUGAGGAAUACAUCGGAAUCUACCUUUUCGUGGGGGGAUAACGUAGGGAAACUUACGCUAAUACCGCAUACGCCCUUCGGGGGAAAGCCGGGGAUCGCAAGACCUGGCGCGGAUAGAUGAGCCGAUGUCGGAUUAGCUAGUUGGUGAGGUAAUGGCUCACCAAGGCGACGAUCCGUAGCUGGUCUGAGAGGAUGAUCAGCCACACUGGAACUGAGACACGGUCCAGACUCCUACGGGAGGCAGCAGUGGGGAAUAGUUGGACAAUGGGCGCAAGCCUGAUCCAGCCAUACCGCGUGGGUGAAGAAGCCUUAGGUUGUAAAGCCCUUUUGUAGGAAAGUAAAAGC
rnacentral:rRNA from 1 species